AUGCAUGUCGAGGGGUAAUUCGAUCUUCGGAUCGGAAACGACCGGCAAAUGGGUGAGUAAUACAUAUGCAACCUGCCCGUAGCUGGAGAAUAGCUUCCGGAAACGGAAAUUAAUACUCCAUAAUAUNCUAGUAUCGCAUGUNAUUAGAAUUAAAGCUUCGGUGGCUACGGAUGGGCAUAUGUCCCAUUAGCUUGUUGGUGAGGUAACUGCCCACCAAUGCUACGAUGGGUAGGGGGUCUGAGAGGAUGAUCCCCCACACUGGUACUGAGACACGGACCAGACUCCUACGGGAGGCAGCAGUGAGGAAUAUUGGUCAAUGGGCGAAAGCCUGAACCAGCCAUGCCGCGUGCAGGAUGACAGUCCUACGGAUUGUAAACUGCUUUUCUGCAAGAAGAAAUGUUCCGACGUGUCGGGAUUUGACGGUAUUGCGGGAAUAAGCAUCGGCUAACUCCGUGCCAGCAGCCGCGGUAAUACGGAGGAUGCAAGCGUUAUCCGGAUUCAUUGGGUUUAAAGGGUGCGUAGGCGGAUUAGAUAGUCAAAGGUGAAAGCCUGCAGCUUAACUGUAGAAGUGCCUUUGAUACUGCUAAUCUUGAGUAACAGUUGAGGCGAGUGGAAUGUGUAGUGUAGCGGUGAAAUGCAUAGAUACUACACAGAACAACAAUUGCGAAGGCAGCUCGCUAAGCUGUUACUGACGCUCAGGCACGAAAGCGUGGGGAGCGAACAGGAUUAGAUACCCUGGUAGUCCACGCUGUAAACUAUGAUCACUAGCUGUUGGCGAUAAAUUGUCCAGUGGCUCAGCGAAAGCGUUAAGUG
rnacentral:rRNA from 1 species